AUUAAAUCUUGAUGUACUCUUCGUAUAAUCUUGGGAAUAUGGCCCAAAAGUUUCUACCGAGCUGCCGUAAAUAGCUUGACUACGAGGUAACAAAUAGAUAGA
rnacentral:ncRNA from 2 species